UGGGCACAGAGCGGGCACCAAGAGCCAUCAGCUGCCCACGUUUCCUUCCUGUUGCCCCGAGACUCCUCUCCCUGGGCUCUGGGGCCCACAACAGAACUCAGAAAAAGUGGGAGGCCAAGAUCUCGAGGCGCCUCCAGCCACGAGUCUCUGAAAUGCGCUGCAGCCCUGGAGUCACGGCCGCGAUGUGACUGGGUGACCAACCUCACGGCUGGCGUGAGGCUUCUGGAAGAACACGGGGAAGGGGCCGAGGGCUGCAAUUAGGCCUUUCUGCAGCUUUUUCAACUGCUGCCACGAUUUUCUGUAACUGAACCAGUGACGAUGACUGCUGUAUCACGAAAGGGAAAUGAAAGUCCCCGGACGUCUGGCUGAACUCUUUGUCCAAACAUGACUAUGCGGGGUCCUUCACAAGUAAACAAGACGCUCCUUCCAACAAAGAGGAACUGGCAGCUGCAUCCAGCAGAGCCCAGGGCCCAAGCCGAGCAUGCCCACUGGAAGAAACUCCGGCCACCAAAGAUGAAAGACGCCUCAAUUCCUGCCCACUGCUCCAGAGAAAGAGAUAUCAUAACCUGCUGAAUCGCCUGGGGGCACGUUUUGAGUUAAAAAGCAAGAUCCAAGGGAUCAUCCUAGGCCUGUCAUAAAUCUCUUCCCUAGACACAGGAGAGAGAGGGGUAAAAAGGCAGAGCCUCUAAUUAGAAACAUAUUUUUAACGCUGGUUUUAAAUUCCUGGUCUCGUCUUUCAAGCGAAAUCUGAAUUCCUCCCGGAGAUUCCAGCUUUGAGCAGUCCAGAGAGAACACGAAGCCCAACUGGGAAACUGAGGCAAAGGUUCGGCGUACCUUCCAACGACCAGGCUCAAGGGGACGGACAAGUGGAGACCGCGGACAAUCCAAGUCGGGGAUGAAAGUUGGAAGUGACGAGGAAGGACUGGCUGC